GUUGUGUUGACAGUUGAAACCAGUGAGGGUGAACAGCCCUGAUUCCGUGUUGUGGCCAACCGGCAAGGUGCACAGAAGGCCAAAGCCUUCUACUUCAGUGCAGACCCCUCAGAUCCACAAAAGGCCUCCAAUCAUUGUGAGCUAUGGGCAGGACCAAACAUCUGGGGAUGGAUGGAGCGUCAAUCCAGAGCCUCUCAGCCAGUCUGGAAGGGUGACUCGGCUGAUAGAGAGAAAAAAUGAUGACGUGAUCUCAUCCUCCAGUUCUGAUGACUUUUCCAUCUACUCCUUCACUGACUGUGAAUCGGAGUGUGAUGAUGAGGAUCAUGAAAGGAGGACACCACCUCUGAAAGUUGAGAAUGGAAAGGUGACAAAGCUUGACGUGAGGGAUAUGGACGAGGAUGAUGAUCUGUCUCUCCACUCCUUCGAUGAGUCAGACUUCCUGAGCCCAGGGAAGGUCUCAGGUCCUGUAUCUGUCAAGAAUGGCCUCUCUCCUCUUGUGACCUCAGCACCCCGGACACUGGCUGAAGCCCUACGGGCCCUGCCCUCUGCUGUAGGCUCUCCCUACCCAGUAAAUGUCCCAAGGCCUCUGACUCCUCUCAGCCCUGUCAUUAUCGCUCUGCCCCGAACAGAGAACUUCCCAUACCGCCACAGCCCUCGCCUGGCUCCCAUCACCAACCUGAGCGAGACCGGCAGGAAGCUGCUCCAGGAAAUGGCUGGAGUGGCCCCACAGGUUUCUUCAGUGGCUGCUGCCCAAACUGAGAUGUUCAAAGAAAUAAUGGCCAACUAUUGUUUCUACCACACACACACACACACACACACACACACACACACACACACACACACACACACACACACACACACACACACACACACACACACACACACACACACACACACACACACACAGAGAUUUUGAGUAUUGGUUACUCCUACAACACACACAAAUGUAAUUUCAGAGACAGGAACUAUGAUUAGCAAAAUACAUAUAUUGGUCUCAUUCUUAUCUUUUGAGACAUGCAGCAUUAUUAACAAAACAAAAAUGAUAUUGAUCCCCAUACAGCCUAUGAUAAUGAGUUGGAUUUACAUGUUUAGGCUUGGAAAUAUAGCCAGGAGAAGCAGGGUCAACACCUCUACUCAUGCCAUAAGUGCCAUGACAUCUUUAGUAACCACAGAGAGAUAAGACCUCUGUCUCCACAGUCUCCUCCAAAGGACAGCACCAACCUUAGGGCAGUGUCACUGGUAUUGGGGUCUUAGGUCUCCUUUGGCCAAAUUGAAGAGGUGAGGGCCCCUUACUGGUCUCCUUGCAAUAUCUGGUCUCCCACACAGAGAUGGAAAUCUACACCUGUUUAGACCCUGGAGGAUAUGGCUUCAGAUGAAAGAUGCAGAACGUAAAAUCUUCAAACACA